rnacentral:lncRNA from 1 species
CUUUGCCUUUGUGAACAUGAUCCAAGUCAAUAUUCAUUUAUAUUUGUUGAGAGCCAAAGUGUAUUACAACCUAAUCAUGACAACAUUUACAAAUGUUGUUUUUAUUUACAGUGACACAGAGAUUACUCUAGCUGUGAGCUUAGAAUGUGUGAAUGUCUAGGUAUACAUAGAGUAUGGGUCACCACCUCCCAGUGAUAUCUCACUGAAAAUAAGAAAGACUUUCCAACUGACUCAUCUCAUGGGACUGUUGAUUUUUCAUACCACCAUGAUAAAAUUUCUGGUUUUAAAAUUUUUAUCCAGACAUUGAACCCUCUCAAAUGUCAGAUGAAUAUAUUGCAAGACUGAUGAGGAUAUACUUUUAACUGUGAGGUCUUAGCAUAUAUGAGUGAGGCACUACAGAACUCAUCACAUCCCUUGUUCAAUUGACUAAUGGAAUAGACUUUGAGAUUGCCUUUAAUGAUGGCUGUUAUGACAAAUACAAUGCUGCAUAUAUUGUUGCCCAUGUCCUCUAUGAGAUGUUUCUUCAGCAGGUAGGUAGUCAGCCCAUGAAUAAUGGGAAAGAACUUGAUUUUCACUGUCUGCAGGUG